UCACACCACCUGGAGUUGGAGACUCGCGUUUGCUUUCCUUUUUUCCUUUUUGUCUGCACGUUACUUCUGUUGAAGGUAAUUCAAAAAAGAUGUAGUAAAUGUGAAUACAAAUUCCAAGAUUUGUGUGUGAGAGGCGUUAGAGUUGGUCCUUGUUUUAGGCUUUGCACUCAGUAUUGGCGGUGUAAUUUUGUAAUUCAAUAAUGUAAACCGUGUGCAGGCAAGUAGAGGUGGAGUCAGUGAUUUUGCACCCGUUGCCAAAUUUCCCCACACCCUUAUAAAUUAACCACAUGCAGAAAUAGUUUAUAUUUAUCUUUGACUCGAGAGAACCGAUUCCUCCACAACUGAAAAGACCAACUGGAAAAAAAAAAUGGAUCCCUGUGAUUGCAACAGCACUGGAACUUGCAGGUGUGGUGUCAACUGCAAAUGCAAAAAUUGCAAGUGUCCAACUUGCCAGAAAAGCUGCUGCUGUUGCUGUCCACCUGGGUGCAGCAAGUGUGCUUCUGGAUGUGUGUGCAAGGAUGAGGCCUGUGAUUCUAGCUGUUGCAAGUGAACAUCCACGUUUGUUUCACACACAGUGCAGCUGUGUGUGAGAGAACCACUGUCCCAUGCAGUGAGGCUUGUCGGGAGUAACAAAUGGCUGGCAAACCUUUUGUCAAAACUGUCAUUUACUUCUGGUUAUCUUCACUCUAGUUUUCCUAGUUCUGUUAAACAUAACCUUUGCAAUUAAUGUUGCAUGACUAAACCUGUGUGGAAAUGCCAAUAAAACAUCUGAGUAUUUC